rnacentral:rRNA from 1 species
UACGGAGGGUGCAAGCGUUAUCCGGAUUCACUGGGUUUAAAGGGUGCGUAGGCGGGCAGGUAAGUCCGUGGUGAAAUCUCUGAGCUCAACUCAGAAACUGCCAUGGAUACUAUUUGUCUUGAAUGUUGUGGAGGUAAGCGGAAUAUGUCAUGUAGCGGUGAAAUGCUUAGAUACGACAUAGAACACCAAUUGCGAAGGCAGCUUACUACACAAAUAUUGACGCUGAGGCACGAAAGCGUGGGGAUCAAACAGG